rnacentral:rRNA from 1 species
UGGGGAAUAUUGCACAAUGGGCGCAAGCCUGAUGCAGCAACGCCGCGUGAACGAUGAAGGUCUUCGGAUCGUAAAGUUCUGUUGCAGGGGAAGAUAAUGACGGUACCCUGUGAGGAAGCCCCGGCUAACUACGUGCCAGCAGCCGCGGUAAUACGUAGGGGGCUAGCGUUAUCCGGAUUUACUGGGCGUAAAGGGUGCGUAGGUGGUCUUUCAAGUCGGUGGUUAAAGGCUACGGCUCAACCGUAGUUAGCCUCCGAAACUGGAAGACUUGAGUGCAGGAGAGGAAAGUGGAAUUCCCAGUGUAGCGAUGAAAUGCGUAGAUAUAUGGAGGAACACCGGUGGCGAAAGCGGCUCUCUGGUCUGUAACUGACGCUGAGGCUCGAAAGCGUGGGGAGCGAACAGG